rnacentral:rRNA from 2 species
UAAAGAAAGCGUAAUAGCUCACUGGUCGAGUCGGCCUGCGCGGAAGAUGUAACGGGGCUAAACCAUGCACCGAAGCUGCGGCAGCGACACUGUGUGUUGUUGGGUAGGGGAGCGUUCUGUAAGCCUGUGAAGGUGGCCUGUGAGGGUUGCUGGAGGUAUCAGAAGUGCGAAUGCUGACAUAAGUAACGAUAAAGCGGGUGAAAAGCCCGCUCGCCGGAAGAC